rnacentral:rRNA from 1 species
UACAGAGGUCCCAAGCGUUGUUCGGAUUCACUGGGCGUAAAGGGUGCGUAGGCGGUCGGGUAAGUCUGAUGUGAAAUCUCACAGCUUAACUGUGAAACUGCAUUGGAUACUAUUCGGCUUGAGAGUUGGAGGGGGGACUGGAAUUCUUGGUGUAGCAGUGAAAUGCGUAGAUAUCAAGAGGAACACCAGUGGCGAAGGCGGUCUCCUGGGGCAUUCUUGACGCUGAGGCGCGAAAGCUGGGGGAGCGAACGGG